rnacentral:rRNA from 1 species
UGCAGUCGAACGGUGAAGGAGAGCUUGCUCUCUGGAUCAGUGGCGAACGGGUGAGUAACACGUGAGCAAUCUGCCCCUGACUCUGGGAUAAGCGCUGGAAACGGCGUCUAAUACCGGAUACGAGCUGCGAAGGCAUCUUCAGCAGUUGGAAAGAAUUUCGGUCAGGGAUGAGCUCGCGGCCUAUCAGCUUGUUGGUGAGGUAACGGCUCACCAAGGCGUCGACGGGUAGCCGGCCUGAGAGGGUGACCGGCCACACUGGGACUGAGACACGGCCCAGACUCCUACGGGAGGCAGCAGUGGGGAAUAUUGCACAAUGGGCGCAAGCCUGAUGCAGCAACGCCGCGUGAGGGACGACGGCCUUCGGGUUGUAAACCUCUUUUAGCAGGGAAGAAGCGAAAGUGACGGUACCUGCAGAAAAAGCACCGGCUAACUACGUGCCAGCAGCCGCGGUAAUACGUAGGGUGCAAGCGUUAUCCGGAAUUAUUGGGCGUAAAGAGCUCGUAGGCGGUUUGUCGCGUCUGCUGUGAAAACCCGAGGCUCAACCUCGGGCCUGCAGUGGGUACGGGCAGACUAGAGUGCGGUAGGGGAGAUUGGAAUUCCUGGUGUAGCGGUGGAAUGCGCAGAUAUCAGGAGGAACACCGAUGGCGAAGGCAGAUCUCUGGGCCGUAACUGACGCUGAGGAGCGAAAGGGUGGGGAGCAAACAGGCUUAGAUACCCUGGUAGUCCACCCCGUAAACGUUGGGAACUAGUUGUGGGGUCCAUUCCACGGAUUCCGUGACGCAGCUAACGCAUUAAGUUCCCCGCCUGGGGAGUACGGCCGCAAGGCUAAAACUCAAAGGAAUUGACGGGGACCCGCACAAGCGGCGGAGCAUGCGGAUUAAUUCGAUGCAACGCGAAGAACCUUACCAAGGCUUGACAUAUAGAGGAAACGUCUGGAAACAGUCGCCCCGCAAGGUCUCUAUACAGGUGGUGCAUGGUUGUCGUCAGCUCGUGUCGUGAGAUGUUGGGUUAAGUCCCGCAACGAGCGCAACCCUCGUUCUAUGUUGCCAGCACGUAAUGGUGGGAACUCAUGGGAUACUGCCGGGGUCAACUCGGAGGAAGGUGGGGAUGACGUCAAAUCAUCAUGCCCCUUAUGUCUUGGGCUUCACGCAUGCUACAAUGGCCGGUACAAAGGGCUGCAAUACCGUGAGGUGGAGCGAAUCCCAAAAAGCCGGUCCCAGUUCGGAUUGAGGUCUGCAACUCGACCUCAUGAAGUCGGAGUCGCUAGUAAUCGCAGAUCAGCAACGCUGCGGUGAAUACGUUCCCGGGUCUUGUACACACCGCCCGUCAAGUCAUGAAAGUCGGUAACACCUGAAGCCGGUGGCCCAACCCUUGUGGAGGGA